rnacentral:rRNA from 1 species
GGAUGAACGCUGGCGGCGUGCCUAAUACAUGCAAGUCGAGCGAACGGACGAGAAGCUUGCUUCUCUGAUGUUAGCGGCGGACGGGUGAGUAACACGUGGAUAACCUACCUAUAAGACUGGGAUAACUUCGGGAAACCGGAGCUAAUACCGGAUAAUAUUUUGAACCGCAUGGUUCAAAAGUGAAAGACGGUCUUGCUGUCACUUAUAGAUGGAUCCGCGCUGCAUUAGCUAGUUGGUAAGGUAACGGCUUACCAAGGCAACGAUGCAUAGCCGACCUGAGAGGGUGAUCGGCCACACUGGAACUGAGACACGGUCCAGACUCCUACGGGAGGCAGCAGUAGGGAAUCUUCCGCAAUGGGCGAAAGCCUGACGGAGCAACGCCGCGUGAGUGAUGAAGGUCUUCGGAUCGUAAAACUCUGUUAUUAGGGAAGAGCAUAUGUGUAAGUAACUGUGCACAUCUUGACGGUACCUAAUCAGAACGCCACGGCUAACUACGUG